rnacentral:ncRNA from 1 species
CCACUGCAUUGAUUACGUCCCUGCCCUUUGUACACACCGCCCGUCUCACCUACCGAUUGAAUGACUCGGUGAAAAAUUGGGACCGUGAGUCUGUUUGCUUUAUUGCGAGUGGAUUGAUGGGAACUUUUUUAAACCUCGCCAUUUAGAGGAAGGUGAAGUCGUAACAAGGUUUCCGUAGGUGAACCUGCGGAAGGAUCAUUA